ACUUUUUCAACGCAAUAAUUACAAAAAAUAAAUAUGAUUAUGACACAAAUAUCUGAGCUACAUAUUACAAAUGGACUGUUAGCUCUAAGUGAGGUAGCUUCUUGCAUUACUGUUUCAUUGAUUAAUUUAUGUAAGUCAUAUUUGUUACAUGCAUUCGCCCUGUCAAUCCAUGGUAUUGUAUUGUAUAUGAACAGUUAUCUCAUGCACCAUGUUUUUCCUAAAUUUGUAAAAAAAAGAAAAAAGAAAUAUAAUUUUUUGGUAUCUAGUUAAUUAGUUAUAAUGACCGGCAUAACAAUUGCAGCCUGUGCUGGAUUAUUUAGAAUUUCAGUAGUUAUACCCAGCAGCAAUCUUUUCUCACUCUUCCCCAAAGCCUUUUUCUUUGUCGCUUGUCAAAUACAGAUCGGAAACAAUACUGCAACUGCUACCUGGGUUUUUUAAAGCUUAGCUUGUCUGCUUGCAGUUGCAAAUAUGAUAAAGUAGGGUGAUAUUUUUUGUCCAGUACAAGUAGGCCAGCAGCAGUACUGCCAGUACAGGGCCUUCUCUACCAUUUCACAUAUUGUGACUAGUGACUACUCAUUUCAAAUAUUUCGAUCAACAAAUUAAAACAGACUUUGUUCUCACCUUUCCACUAGCCAGGCUUCGCUCCAUGAUCAAUAUUUAAAGCGUAUAUCCUACUCACUGAGGUUGCAACAAUUACCAC